CCUACGGGAGGCAGCAGUGGGGAAUAUUGCACAAUGGGGGAAACCCUGAUGCAGCGACGCCGCGUGAGCGAUGAAGUAUUUCGGUAUGUAAAGCUCUAUUAGCCGGGAAGAAAAUGACGGUACCUGACUAAGAAGCCCCGGCUAACUACGUGACAGCAGCCGCGGUAAUACGUAGGGGGCAAGCGUUAUCCGGAUUUACUGGGUGGAAAGGGAGAGUAGACGGCUGUGCAAGCCAGAUGUGAAAGCCCGGGGCUCAACCCCGAGACUGCAUUUGUAACUGUGUGGCUGGAGUGUCGGAGAGGCAGGCGGAAUUCCUAGUGUAGCGGUGAAAUGCGUAGAUAUUAGGAGGAACACCAGUGGCGAAGGCGGCCUGCUGGACGAUAACUGACGUUGAGGCUCGAAAGCGUGGGGAGCAAACAGGAUUAGAUACCCGUGUAGUC
rnacentral:rRNA from 1 species